AAAAAAGCAAAAGGCAAUCCAUCUGAAUCCCUUCGCGGAACUUUCUAUAUUUGGUAUGUGAUAUGCAGAGACAGUAAUGUGGUUUGGCCAAAUAAGGUUGUGAAUACGCUACAGACAGAAGAAAGCCAAGUGCGACAGUGUAGUGUUUCUAGGGGUGGAUGAGGUGCGGGUAUAUGGAGCUACUGCUUGUGCUUGCUUGAGCUGCAAAACUUGCUGUUGGUAGGAGGAGUUCUGCCUGAGGGAAGGAGCUGUUGGAUGGCACAUCCAGCAGCAAGUCCUGAUCAGAACUUUCAUUUGUAAAACGGAACGAAUUCUCAGAUGGCAAUGCGAAAAGGCUUUUUGGACUGAAGCAAGAGCCAUCAUUCUCCAUGAUUUCCUUCUGUUGUUCAUAGCUGUUUUUCAUCGCCACCCUCUUGGGGCUCUUCAUUGUUGUGUUUACCCCUAA
rnacentral:misc_RNA from 1 species